AAAUCAGUCUUCGAAGAAGAAAGGCUAAUUAAGUAAUCAUUCGAAUUUGAAAGAUAGCCCCGACGCCCAAGCAUGAAUAGCGGACGGGGAGGGAGAAGUCCUCACUGAGACUCACUUAUAUUCUUUCUACACUCUCUAAUCACCGGCCCCCCGUCUUUUCACUUCUAAGCCGAUGGAAGGUAGAGGGAAGUCGUCGCCUUCCCCCUCUCCGCACCACAGGUUUCUCCUACGAUUAGUUUUCCAAUGAGGAUUAGAUUUCCAAUGUAUAUGUCUUAUUUGACAAAGCUGUUUACGUAAUAGGCUGCUGGCUAGAAACAUAGGAAUUUGGAAUGUUGAGAUGACUGGUACAUUUCUCGAUACACUUGAGUAGAUGCUUUCAACAAGCCCUACUCACAGAUAGCUAAUGAGCUAGCUUUUUUAAAAAGAAACCAGCAAUACUGGAUGCGAUGUUUGGA
rnacentral:lncRNA from 1 species